CCUACGGGAGGCAGCAGUGGGGAAUAUUGGGCAAUGGGCGAAAGCCUGACCCAGCGACGCCGCGUGAGGGACGAAGGCCUUCGGGUUGUAAACCUCUUUCAGCAGGGAAGAAGCGAAAGUGACGGUACCUGCAGAAGAAGCACCGGCUAACUACGUGCCAGCAGCCGCGGUAAUACGUAGGGUGCAAGCGUUGUCCGGAAUUAUUGGGCGUAAAGAGCUCGUAGGUGGUUUGCCACGUCGGAUGUGAAAACCUGAGGCUUAACCUCAGGCCUGCAUUCGAUACGGGCAGACUAGAGUGUGGUAGGGGAGACUGGAAUUCCUGGUGUAGCGGUGAAAUGCGCAGAUAUCAGGAGGAACACCGGUGGCGAAGGCGGGUCUCUGGGCCAUAACUGACACUGAGGAGCGAAAGCGUGGGGAGCAAACAGGAUUAGAUACCCUGGUAGUCCACGCCGUAAACGGUGGGCACUAGAUGUGGGGACCUUCCACGGUCUCUGCGUCGCNGCUACGCAUAGUGCCCGCCGUCGGGUAGGUACGGCCGCGAGACGUAAACCGUACGAAAGAAGUAAGACGGCGUUGAGACGCGACGACGCGACGAGGAGGAGG
rnacentral:rRNA from 1 species